AAUUGCCCCCUGAAAAUUAGGUUCCUGAGUCUCUAUGAGAUUUGCAACCAACAAAGAAUAACUGUAAAAGAGGUGGCUCAGGAGGGAGCUGAGUGGAGAGAGUUAUCUGAACUAAUACAAGAGAUUGCUUGUACUGAUGAGGCUGAUGUGCUCAAAUGGGUUCAUGGAAAAAAUGGAGUUUAUACCUCGAAAUCGUUAUAUCAGUUGUUAACUUUUAGAGGUGUACUUGACCCCCCAAAUGAAUAUACUGUGGAGACUACCGAUCCCUCUUAA
rnacentral:lncRNA from 1 species